AGAGUUUGAUCAUGGCUCAGGAUAAACGCUGGCGGCGCACAUAAGACAUGCAAGUCGAACGGGAAUUAUGCGAAUGUUUACAGGAGUAUAAUUUUAGUGGCGGACGGGUGAGUAACACGUGAGCAACCUACCUUUUUGAGGGGGAUAACAUUGAGAAAUCAGUGCUAAUACCGCAUAAAGUAUAGUUAUCGCAUGAUAGCAAUGCCAAAGGAGAAAUCCGCAGAAAGAGGGGCUCGCGGCUGAUUAGCUAGUUGGAGUGGUAAAGGCACCCCAAGGCGAUGAUCAGUAGCCGAGCUGAGAGGCUAGACGGCCACAUUGGGACUGAGAUACGGCCCAGACUCCUACGGGAGGCAGCAGUCGGGAAUAUUGCACAAUGGGGGGAACCCUGAUGCAGUGACGCCGCGUAUAGGAAGAAGGUCUUUGGAUUGUAAACUAUUGUCGAAGGGGAAGAAAGAAAUGACAGUACCCUUGGAGGAAGCCCCGGCAAACUACGUGCCAGCAGCCGCGGUAAUACGUAGGGGGCGAGCGUUAUCCGGAAUUAUUGGGUGUAAAGGGUGCGUAGACGGACGAAUAAGUUAGUUGUGAAAUACCCAGGCUUAACUUGGGAAGUGCAGCUAAAACUAUUUGCCUUGAGUAUGGGAGAGGGAAGCGGAAUUCCUAGUGUAGCGGUGAAAUGCGUAGAUAUUAGGAGGAACACCAGUGGCGAAGGCGGCUUUCUGGACCAAAACUGACGUUGAUGCACGAAAGUGUGGGUAGCGAACAGGAUUAGAUACCCUGGUAGUCCACACCGUAAACGAUGGAUACUA
rnacentral:rRNA from 1 species